CCGACCUUAGCUCAGUUGGUAGAGCGGAAGACUGUAGUUGGUGAAAAGCCAGUCAGAUUAUCUUUAGGUCGCUGGUUCGAAUCCGGCAGGUCGGA
rnacentral:tRNA from 1 species